rnacentral:rRNA from 1 species
CCUACGGGAGGCUGCAGUGAGGAAUAUUGGUCAAUGGGCGCGAGCCUGAACCAGCCAAGUAGCGUGAAUGAUGACUGCCCUACGGUUUGUAAGCUUCUUUUAUGGAGGAAUAAAUGUAGUCACGUGUGCCUGUUUGUAUGUACUUUAUGAAUAAAGAUCGGCUAACUCCGUUCCAUCAGCCGCGGUAAGACGGAGGGUCCGAGCGUUAUCCGGAUUUAUUGUGUUUAAAGUGAGCGCAGAUGGGUUGUUAAGUCAGUUGUGAAAGUCUCCGGCUCAACCGUAAAAUUGCAAUUGAUACUGGCAGGCUUGAGUAUAGUUGAGGGAGGUGGAAUUCGUGGUGUAGCGGUGAAAUGCUUAGAUAUCACGAAGAAUUCCGAUUGCGAAGACAGCUGCCUAAACUGACACUGACAUUGAUGUUCGAAAGUGUGGGUAUCAAACAGGAUUAGAUACCCUGGUAGUC